rnacentral:rRNA from 1 species
UACGGGGGGGCAAGCGUUGUUCGGAAUUACUGGGCGUAAAGGGCUCGUAGGUGGCCAACUAAGUCGGACGUGAAAUCCCUCGGCUUAACCGGGGAACUGCGUCUGAUACUGGAUGGCUUGAGUUUGGGAGAGGGAUGCGGAAUUCCAGGUGUAGCGGUGAAAUGCGUAGAUAUCUGGAGGAACACCGGUGGCGAAGGCGGCAUCCUGGACCAACACUGACACUGAGGAGCGAAAGCCAGGGGAGCAAACGGG